AUUGAACGCUGGCGGCAUGCUUUACACAUGCAAGUCGAACGGUAACAGGCCGCAAGGUGCUGACGAGUGGCGAACGGGUGAGUAAUGCAUCGGAACGUGCCCAGUCGUGGGGGAUAACGCAGCGAAAGCUGCGCUAAUACCGCAUACGAUCUAUGGAUGAAAGCGGGGGACCGUAAGGCCUCGCGCGAUUGGAGCGGCCGAUGUCAGAUUAGGUAGUUGGCGGGGUAAAGGCUCACCAAGCCGACGAUCUGUAGCUGGUCUGAGAGGACGACCAGCAACACGGGGAAUGAGACACGGCACAGACUCCGACGGGAGGCAGAGGUGGGGAAUUUUGGACAAUGGGCGCAAGCCUGAUCCAGCAAUGCCGCGUUCAGGAAGAAGGCCUUCGGGUUGUAAACUGCUUUUGUACGGAACGAAACGGCUCUGGUUAAUACCUGGGGCUAAUGACGGUACCGUAAGAAUAAGCACCGGCUAACUACGUGCCAGCAGCCGCCGUAACAC
rnacentral:rRNA from 1 species